rnacentral:rRNA from 1 species
UAGGGAAUCUUCCACAAUGGACGCAAGUCUGAUGGAGCAACGCCGCGUGAGUGAAGAAGGUUUUCGGAUCGUAAAGCUCUGUUGUUGGUGAAGAAGGAUAGAGGCAGUAACUGGUCUUUAUUUGACGGUAAUCAACCAGAAAGUCACGGCUAACUACGUGCCAGCAGCCGCGGUAAUACGUAGGUGGCAAGCGUUGUCCGGAUUUAUUGGGCGUAAAGCGAGCGCAGGCGGAAUGAUAAGUCUGAUGUGAAAGCCCACGGCUCAACCGUGCAACUGCAUCGGAAACUGUCAUUCUUGAGUGCAGAAGAGGAGAGUGGAAUUCCAUGUGUAGCGGUGGAAUGCGUAGAUAUAUGGAAGAACACCAGUGGCGAAGGCGGCUCUCUGGUCUGCAACUGACGCUGAGGCUCGAAAGCAUGGGUAGCGAACAGG